rnacentral:rRNA from 1 species
GACGAACGCUGGCGGCGUGCCUAAUACGUGCAAGUAGAACGCUGAAGAGAGGAGCUUGCUCUUCUUGGAUGAGUUGCGAACGGGUGAGUAACGCGUAGGUAACCUGCCUGGUAGCGGGGGAUAACUAUUGGAAACGAUAGCUAAUACCGCAUGAUAUUAAUUGUCGCAUGAUAAUUAAUUGAAAGAUGCAAUUGCAUCACUACCAGAUGGACCUGCGUUGUAUUAGCUAGUUGGUGAGGUAACGGCUCACCAAGGCGACGAUACAUAGCCGACCUGAGAGGGUGAUCGGCCACACUGGGACUGAGACACGGCCCAGACUCCUACGGGAGGCAGCAGUAGGGAAUCUUCGGCAAUGGGGGGAACCCUGACCGAGCAACGCCGCGUGAGUGAAGAAGGUUUUCGGAUCGUAAAGCUCUGUUGUAAGAGAAGAACGGGUGUGAGAGUGGAAAGUUCACACU